rnacentral:rRNA from 1 species
UACGUAGGGACCGAGCGUUGUCCGGAUUCAUUGGGCGUAAAGAGCUCGUAGGCGGCCACUCAAGUCGAAUGUGAAACCUCGAGGCUUAACCUCGAGCCUGCAUUCGAUACUGGGCGGCUAGAGUCUGGUAGGGGGAUCUGGAAUUCCUGGUGUAGCGGUGGAAUGCGCAGAUAUCUGGAGGAACACCGGUGGCGAAGGCGGCAUCCUGGACCAACACUGACACUGAGGAGCGAAAGCCAGGGGAGCAAACGGG